rnacentral:rRNA from 1 species
UAGGGAAUCUUCGGCAAUGGGGGGAACCCUGACCGAGCAACGCCGCGUGAGUGAAGAAGGUUUUCGGAUCGUAAAGCUCUGUUGUUAAGGAAGAACGAGUGUGAGAAUGGAAAGUUCAUGCUGUGACGGUACUUAACCAGAAAGGGACGGCUAACUACGUGCCAGCAGCCGCGGUAAUACGUAGGUCCCGAGCGUUGUCCGGAUUUAUUGGGCGUAAAGCGAGCGCAGGCGGUUAGAAAAGUCUGAAGUGAAAGGCAGUGGCUCAACCAUUGUAGGCUUUGGAAACUGUUUAACUUGAGUGCAGAAGGGGGGAUUGGAAUUCCAUGUGUAGCGGUGAAGUGCGUAGAUAUAUGGAGGAACACCGGUGGCGAAAGCGGCUCUCUGGUCUGUAACUGACGCUGAGGCUCGAAGGCGUGGGGAGCGAACAGG